AAAGAGAUUGGAAGCAUCAGGGGGACUCACAUGAGGGGGUCCCUCUGCUGCUGGCUUUGAAGAUGGAAGGGCAUUUCAGAUGGCAGGGAAUAUGGAUGGCUUCUGGGACCCAGAGUCCUCAGUCCUACAGCCGUAAGGAAACGAAUUCCACCAACAGCCUGCAUAACUUGGAAUCAUAAUCUUCCCUGAGUCUCUGGAAAGGAAGGAAGCCUAGCCAACAGCCCAGUUUCCCCAGCUUUUGGUGACUUUACACAGCAAAGGAAAACUGACGGACUCUGCUGGGUAAUGUUCAGAUGCCGACUCCUGAGCAGGCCCCCACCGCACAGCUGCAGGAUGUCAACGACCUCAGCAGAGAAGGACGACAGCUCCUGCCCUCCGGCCCCCUUGGGGGAGAGUGGGGGCCGCCCAGAGAAUGCACAGAGCUUGCUCAGAGACUGGAAGCUGCCUCCAAGAUAAAGCGGAUCCUGUUGCCUUCUUGUCAAUGAGCAUCGUUAAUUACACUUGUUUUCAUUUUCACUCUUGGAGAUA